rnacentral:rRNA from 1 species
GACGAACGCUGGCGGCGUGCUUAACACAUGCAAGUCGAACGGGGCUACUAUGAUGGAGUUUUCGGACAACUGAUUAGUAUGCCUAGUGGCGGACGGGUGAGUAACGCGUGAGUAACCUGCCUUUCAGAGGGGACAACAGCUGGAACGGCUGCUAAUACCGCAUAAUAUAUACAGGUCGCAUGAUUUGUAUAUCAAAGAUUUAUCGCUGAAGGAUGGACUCGCGUCUGAUUAGCUAGUUGGCGGGGUAACGGCCCACCAAGGCGACGAUCAGUAGCCGGGACUGAGAGGGUUCGAACGGCCACUAUUGGGGACUGAGAUACGGCCCAGUACUCCUACGGGAGGCAGCAGUUGGGGACAUUGGGGCAAUGGGCGCAAGCCUUGACCC